rnacentral:rRNA from 1 species
UACAGAGGUCCCAAGCGUUGUUCGGAUUCACUGGGCGUAAAGGGUGCGUAGGUGGUGGGGUAAGUCUGAUGUGAAAUCUCCGAGCUCAACUCGGAAAUGGCAUUGGAAACUACUCUGCUCGAGGGUUGGAGGGGGGACUGGAAUACUUGGUGUAGCAGUGAAAUGCGCAGAUAUCAAGUGGAACACCAGUGGCGAAGGCGAGUCCCUGGACAACUCCUGACACUGAGGCACGAAAGCUAGGGGAGCAAACAGG